rnacentral:rRNA from 1 species
CAAUAGCGUAUAUUAAAGUUGUUGCAGUUAAAAAGCUCGUAGUUGGACUUCUGCGGGUGGCGGCCGGUCGUGCUCGAAACGGGCGUGAACUUGGCGUGCUGCCCGCAUCUUUGGGGAGAUUGUGCGUGGCAUUAAGUUGUCGUGCAUGGGAUUCUCAUCAUUUACUGCGAAAAAAUUAGAGUGUUUAAAGCAGGCCUUUGCCUUGAAUACAUUAGCAUGGAAUAAUAAGAUAGGACCGUUGUCUAUUUUGUUGGUUUACAGAUGUCGGUAAUGAUUAAUAGGGAUAGUUGGGGGUAUUCGUAUUCAGUUGUCAGAGGUGAAAUUCUUGGAUUUUCGGAAGACGCACGACUGCGAAAGCAUUUACCAAGGAUGUUUUCAUUAA